AUUCCGCCCACCUCUGCCUCCCAAAGUGCUGGGAUUACAGGCAUGAGCCACCGCAUCUGGCCAGCUUAUUUUCUAUUACUGGCUCAAUGUAAAGGCUCCAUCUCAGGAACAGCCAAUGAAAGAGAUGCACAGGACGAGGAACAGGACCUUGCCCUGUCACUCAGGAUGGAGUUCAGUUGUCCAAUCAUGGCUCAUUGUAGCCUCAAACUCCCAGGCUCAAGCAAUCCUACCAUGUCAGCCUUCCCAGUAGCUG
rnacentral:lncRNA from 1 species